rnacentral:rRNA from 1 species
GCCCUUCCUACGGGAGGCAGCAGUGGGGAAUAUUGCACAAUGGGCGAAAGCCUGAUGCAGCGACGCCGCGUGGGGGAUGACGGCCUUCGGGUUGUAAACCUCUUUCAGCAGGGAAGAAGCGAGAGUGACGGUACCUGCAGAAGAAGCGCCGGCUAACUACGUGCCAGCAGCCGCGGUAAUACGUAGGGCGCAAGCGUUGUCCGGAAUUAUUGGGCGUAAAGAGCUUGUAGGUGGCUUGUCGCGUCUGCCGUGAAAACCCGAGGCUCAACCUCGGGCGUGCGGUGGGUACGGGCAGGCUAGAGUGUGGUAGGGGAGACUGGAACUCCUGGUGUAGCGGUGAAAUGCGCAGAUAUCAGGAAGAACACCGAUGGCGAAGGCAGGUCUCUGGGCCAUUACUGACACUGAGAAGCGAAAGCAUGGGUAGCGAACAGGAUUAGAUACCCUGGUAGUCCAUGCCGUAAACGUUGGGCACUAGGUGUGGGGAGCAUUCCACGUUCUCCGCGCCGUAGCUAACGCAUUAAGUGCCCCGCCUGGGGAGUACGGCCGCAAGGCUAAAACUCAAAGGAAUUGACGGAAGGGC